CUACGGGCUGCACCAGUGAGGAAUAUUGCGCAAUGGGCGAAAGCCUGACGCAGCCAUGCCGCGUGUGUGAUGAAGGCCUUCGGGUUGUAAAGCACUGUCAGAGGGGAAGAGCAGCCCGGUCAACACCCGGGUCCGACGGUACCCUCAAAGGAAGCACCGGCUAACUCCGUGCCAGCAGCCGCGGUAAAACGGGGGGUGCUAGCGUUGUUCGGAAUCACUGGGCGUAAAGCGUGCGUAGGCGGCCUGUUAAGCCAGGUGUGAAAUCCUGCGGCUUAACCGUAGAACUGCAUCUGGAACUGGCAGGCUAGAGUUCGGUAGAGGGAAGGGGAAUUCCCGGUGGAGAGGUGAAAUUCGUAGAGAUCGGGAGGAAUACCAGUGGCGAAGGCGCCUUCCUGGACCUGAACUGACGCUGAGGCACGAAAGCGUGGGGAGCAAACAGGAUUAGAUACCCUUGUAGUC
rnacentral:rRNA from 1 species